AACGAACGCUGGCGGCAUGCCUAACACAUGCAAGUCGAACGAGACCUUCGGGUCUAGUGGCGCACGGGUGCGUAACGCGUGGGAACCUGCCCUUAGGUUCGGAAUAACUCCCCGAAAGGGGUGCUAAUACCGGAUAAUGUCUUCGGACCAAAGAUUUAUCGCCUUUGGAUGGGCCCGCGUUGGAUUAGCUAGUUGGUAGGGUAAAAGCCUACCAAGGCGACGAUCCAUAGCUGGUCUGAGAGGAUGAUCAGCCACACUGGGACUGAGACACGGCCCAGACUCCUACGGGAGGCAGCAGUGGGGAAUAGUGGACAAUGGGCGAAAGCAUGAUCCAGCAAUGCCGCGUGAGUGAUGAAGGCCUUAGGGUUGUAAAGCUCUUUUAACCGGGAUGAUAAUGACAGUACCGGGAGAAUAAGCCCCGGCUAACUCCGUG
rnacentral:rRNA from 1 species